UCAGCUGCAACCCUCUGCAGCGAUCCCGCAGCAGAGCCGAGCGGUGCGCCGGGAGCGGCGCGGUCCCAUGCCCGUGACGGCCGCACGUUCAGCUCAGUGCGCGGAUGCGGAGCGCACAGCGGAGACGGAGGUUCUGUUGCUAGACAACAGGGAGAGAUCACCCCUGGGGCUCCUGCACCCGCUCUGGCUCCCCAUCCCCCUGUAGUUGGUACAGAUCAACAGAAGCCUGGAAUACUGUGAGUAGAAGAAAGCUCUUCUCAUACUCAUGUAUCUUUCUGCGGAGAAAAUCCAUUUAAACCAGCACUAAGCCAAAACAGAAUUACCGUCCAUUUACUACACCAACACCAUGUGUUGAGGUGGGAGUGCACUGGACAUCACUUUACACCUCAAGUGUAUGAAGGGAUUGCAAGAGGCUUGUAGAUGUGCUGACAUGCAAAGCGUUGUUUCCCAUAGGAUGCUGAAACAUUCAGGUAUUCAACUAGUGCACAUUCCUCAUUACUUUAGAUCCUGCAGCAAUUCCUAUUCGAUGCCUUCAGGCACGGUAUGGCAGUACGAUACAUCCCAUCAGAAAGCAGAGCAAUGCCACUGCUCAGCAGAUGUUUGACACGGAGUACCAUGCCAGCCAGCAGCACCACACCAUACCAGAAAUGAUUUUGACACAACACAGUGUCAGUGCCGCAGAGCAAAACUAGCGUGUUCCAAAAAUAGGGACAAAUUCACCUCUGGCACAAGUAGAAGUAACUGCAGUGACUUCAUUAGAUUUGCAUCUGCUUAUGUCAACAAUGAAUCUGGCCCGUAAUCUGGAAUUUACAUAGAAGAGCGGUAAGUGACUGUGUUUUCAGAGAUCUUAUACAACGUUUUGCUCCAGCACUCAGCAUCAUGAGGCGGCUGGGGUAAAGCCACCACCUCUCUCAGCAGUUUCCUUUCCACCCCACAAGAAGCAGCAUCAAGUUUCCAUUUUUAGCAGUGUAACAGUGCCCCAGAGUAUACAGUGUCACUUUAGAGGCAUGGGCAGUUCCGAAUUUGGAGAUUUCUCAAGGAGUAAGAACACUAAGUAAAUAAAUAAAUAAAAUAAUGGAAUAGAAGAGGGUCUCUGCUUUCCACUUCCACACUGUUUCACAAUGUUCACUUUAAGCAUUAGGGACCCAGGAACUGAGGCAAACCAUAAAAUUUCAAUGAGGGACGGUGCAAUAGUAAAAUAAAGAUAUGAAAUAAGGAACUUGGCUGAAAUGUUGCAGUGUCAGAUCUGAUGAGAUAUGGAGGCUUUCCAAAAAGAAACUGUAAUGUACUGGUGCUCCCUUUCACCACCUGGGAGCAGAAAACACAGCAUAGUGGUGCAAACGCAUGACACCGACAAAGGGAGAGAAGGGAGCAGACCAGGCUGAUAUGAGAUAUUCACAGCGGAGCAACACGCGUGGUCCUUGCUUUAAUCUGUCACUUUAAUAGGGAACAUUAGUUGAAAUACAAGCCAUUCAGUUGAGUGUAUUCAUCUUUGCUGUGUAUUCGAGUUGCUUAAACCCAUCAGGCUGCGUUACUAGAUGAACUCCAGCAGUGCUAAGUGCUAACAAAGA